rnacentral:rRNA from 1 species
GGCUUAUAAUUGAAGUCUGGCAUGAAGGAAUUUAUGGGUAACAACUGUCUCCUAUAACUAUAAUGAACUUACUAAAUAAGUGAAAAUACUUAUGUAAACAUAAUAGACGAGAAGACCCUAGAAAUUUUUUACAAUAAGUUCUUUAAAUUUUAGUAUUUUGUUGGGGCGACAGAAUAACAAAUAACUUAUUUUAUGAGUUAGAAUUAUAUUGUAAGGUAAAAUAAAUUACUCUAGGGAUAACAGCAUAAUAUAUUAAAGUUUGUGACCUCGAUGUUGGACUAGGACCCUUAAUAAUCAAAAGUUUUUAAGUUAAGCUCUGU